rnacentral:tRNA from 1 species
UAUAAAACCUUAUAAAGAAAAAAAUCAUUUGCAAAAUGAUAAUAAUAACUCUUUUAAAC